AGCCUGAUGGAGCACACCGCGUGAGUGAAGAAGGGUUUCGGCUUCGUAAAGCUCUGUUGUUGGAGAAGAACGUGCGUGAGAGUAACUGUUCACGCAGUGACGGUAUCCAACCAGAAAGUCACGGCUAACUACGUGCCAGCAGCCGCGGUAAUACGUAUGUGGCAAGCGUUAUCCGGAUUUAUUGGGCGUAAAGCGAGCGCAGGCGGUUGCUUAGGUCUGAUGUGAAAGCCUUCGGCUUAACCGAAGAAGGGCAUCGGAAACCGGGCGACUUGAGUGCAGAAGAGGACAGUGGAACUCCAUGUGUAGCGGUGGAAUGCGUAGAUAUAUGGAAGAACACCAGUGGCGAAGGCGGCUGUCUGGUCUGCAACUGACGCUGAGGCUCGAAAGCAUGGGUAGCGAACAGGAUUAGAUACCCUGGUAGUCCAUGCCGUAAACGAUGAGUGCUAGGUGUUGGAGGGUUUCCGCCCUUCAGUGCCGGAGCUAACGCAUUAAGCACUCCGCCUGGGGAGUACGACCGCAAGGUUGAAACUCAAAAAAUUUUGACGGGGG
rnacentral:rRNA from 2 species